GGGUAACUCAGUGGUAGGGCAUCUGUCUUGCAAGUGGAAGGUCCCAGGUUCAGUCCCUGGCACCUCCA